ACAGAGGGAGGAUUAAUAUCACUGAUGUGACGGACUCUCUGUAUGACAAAGAGCUGAAAUAUCUGUCUGAUACACUAGGAAAGGAGAGGGUUAUUGUGCUGGUGGAUGAUGUUGAGCAAGACACCUCCAGGGUGAGGAGCCGGAUUUUGGAGAAUCAGCGCAGUAUUGGGAACCUUAGCGAGGAAUUAUUUGUCUUCACCAAUGAGGAAAAAGUAAUUUAUGAGAAACUACAAGUGCUGGAAGCAUGGAUUAAAUAUGAUAAACAAACCACAGAGGAGGCCAUAGAAAUACCUGCUACGGUGUAAACUGAGAACAGAACAGAACCACAAUAUUCGAGAAAACUGGAGAUACC